GUCAGCAGCCAUAUCACCCUGCAGCCCAAGACUGGUUGCCCACUAAAGCUAAGCAGGGUUGAGCCUGGUCAGUACCUGGAUGGGAGACCUCCUGGGAAAACUAGGUUGCUGCUGGAA
rnacentral:rRNA from 1 species